rnacentral:rRNA from 1 species
CGCUGGCGGCGUGCCUAACAAUGCAAGUCGAACGCCCUUGAUCUUUUCGGAGAGAGAGGGAGUGGCGGACGGGUGAGGAACACAUGGGUGACCUGCCCCAAAGUGAGGGAUACCGGCGAGAAAUCGCCGACAAGCCCGCAUAGGGUCUUUCUGGUGGAGCGGAGAGAGCAAAGUUUUCCUUUUUAGCGAGAGGGAGACGCUUUGGGAUGGGCCUGUGGCCGAUUAGCUAGUUGGUGGGGUAAGAGCCUACCAAGGCGACGAUCGGUAGCUGGUCUGAGAGGACGAUCAGCCACACUGGGAUUGAGAACGGCCCAGACUCCUACGGGGGGCAGCAGUGAGGAAUUUUCCGCAAUGGGGGAAACCCUGACGGAGCAACGCCGCGUGCAGGAGGACGCUUUUCGGAGUGUAAACUGCUUUUCUGUGGGACGAGAAUGGACGGUACCACAGGAAGAAGCCCCGGCUAACUACGUGCCAGCAGCCGCGGUAAUACGUAGGGGGCGAGCGUUGUCCGGAGUUACUGGGCGUAAAGGGCAUGCAGGCGGUCGGACGCGUUUUGUGUGACAGCGGGU